rnacentral:rRNA from 1 species
AGUGAACGCUGGCGGUAGGCCUAACACAUGCAAGUCGAACGGCAGCACAGUAAGAGCUUGCUCUUACGGGUGGCGAGUGGCGGACGGGUGAGGAAUACAUCGGAAUCUACUUUUUCGUGGGGGAUAACGUAGGGAAACUUACGCUAAUACCGCAUACGACCUACGGGUGAAAGCAGGGGAUCUUCGGACCUUGCGCGAUUGAAUGAGCCGAUGUCGGAUUAGCUAGUUGGCGGGGUAAAGGCCCACCAAGGCGACGAUCCGUAGCUGGUCUGAGAGGAUGAUCAGCCACACUGGAACUGAGACACGGUCCAGACUCCUACGGGAGGCAGCAGUGGGGAAUAUUGGACAAUGGGCGCAAGCCUGCUCCAGCCAUACCGCGUGGGUGAAGAAGGCCUUCGGGUUGUAAAGCCCUUUUGUUGGGAAAGAAAAGCAGCAGGUUAAUACCCCGCUGUUCUGACGGUACCCAAAGAAUAGGCACCGGCUAACUUCGUG